AUUCUACUCCCUCCGUUGCACAAUACAUGCCUUCUAUUUGUCAAAAUAUAGAUAUAUCUAGACAUGUUUUUUAUAUAGGUACAUCCAUUUUUGGACAAAUGGAAGUCAAGUAUUUUGGAACGGAGGGAGUACACA
rnacentral:pre_miRNA from 1 species